CAGCGCCACGAGUGGUAACCACGUUUAUUGGGCCUAAAGCGUCCGUAGCCGGUUUGAUAAAUCUUUUGUGAAAUUGUACAGCUUAACUGUACAGCGUGCAAGAGACACUGUCAAACUUGAGACCGGGAGGAGUCAGAAGUAUUCCAGAGGGAGCGGUAAAAUGUUAUAAUCUCUGGAGGACUACCUGUGGCGAAGGCGUCUGACCAGAACGGAUCUGACGGUGAGGGACGAAAGCCAGGGGAGCGAACCGGAUUAGAUACCCGCGUAGUCC
rnacentral:rRNA from 1 species